rnacentral:rRNA from 1 species
UGCAUUUGCAACCAGAUCUCAGACGUGAUUACGCUCUGAUCUUACGCAUAUCUUUUAGCGGAGGAGAAGAAUCUAACUAGUAUUCUUUUUAAUACGGAGAGUAAAAA